rnacentral:rRNA from 1 species
AGACCCGAAACCCGGUGAUCUAGCCAUGGGCAGGUUGAAGGUUGGGUAACACUAACUGGAGGACCGAACCGACUAAUGUUGAAAAAUUAGCGGAUGACCUGUGGCUGGGGGUGAAAGGCCAAUCAAACCGGGAGAUAGCUGGUUCUCCCCGAAAGCUAUUUAGGUAGCGCCUCGUGAAUUCAUCUCCGGGGGUAGAGCACUGUUUCGGCUAGGGGGCCAUCCCGGCUUACCAACCCGAUGCAAACUGCGAAUACCGGAGAAUGUUAUCACGGGAGACACACGGCGGGUGCUAACGUCCGUCGUGAAGAGGGAAACAACCCAGACCGCCAGCUAAGGUCCCAAAGUCAUGGUUAAGUGGGAAACGAUGUGGGAAGGCCCAGACAGCCAGGAUGUUGGCUUAGAAGCAGCCAUCAUUUAAAGAAAGCGUAAUAGCUCACUGGUCGAGUCGGCCUGCGCGGAAGAUGUAACGGGGCUAAACCAUGCACCGAAGCUGCGGCAGCGACACUGUGUGUUGUUGGGUAGGGGAGCGUUCUGUAAGCCUGUGAAGGUGUGUCGUGAGGCAUGCUGGAGGUAUCAGAAGUGCGAAUGCUGACAUAAGUAACGAUAAAGCGGGUGAAAAGCCCGCUCGCCGGAAGACCAAGGGUUCCUGUCCAACGUUAAUCGGGGCAGGGUGAGUCGACCCCUAAGGCGAGGCCGAAAGGCGUAGUCGAUGGGAAACGGGUUAAUAUUCCCGUACUUGGUGUUACUGCGAAGGGGGGACGGAGAAGGCUAUGUUGGCCGGGCGACGGUUGUCCCGGUUUAAGCGUGUAGGUGUGUGUUCCAGGUAAAUCCGGUUCACUUUAACACUGAGGCGUGACGACGAGGCACUACGGUGCUGAAGCAACAAAUGCCCUGCUUCCAGGAAAAGCCUCUAAGCAUCAGGUAACAUCAAAUCGUACCCCAAACCGACACAGGUGGUCAGGUAGAGAAUACCAAG